AGACCAGUAGCCAAGUGACCUUCUCCCUACACUCUGGGAGGUCAGCUGAUCCAGAACUCUGGAGAGCGGGGGUGCCAGGCAGAGGCAGGAAAGGUCUGAGAGUGCCUGGGGUUGGUGUGUUGAGUGGAUGGAAAUAAUCAAAAGAGCUUCUGUGUGUUGAUCACCUCCUCAUACACAUUAGCAAAUUGGCUCAGUGAAUUGCCAUCGUAAGAUGGGUAUUGUCUUUAAGAUGGGUAUCAGCGUCCCCACUACAGAUGAGAAGGCUGAGGUUCAGGGAGGGAAAAAUCACUUGCCUAAGAUCACACAGCAUGCUUAUUCUAGUGCUGGGCUUGACACCAGCUCCGAGGCUCAGCCUGAGGUCUGGACUGUGAAAAUCAAUAAAGGAAACCUCACUAAAAUGGGGUGGGGAGGCUGGAAGGGGGAGUCCUACCACUCAACCCCAAUUACAGGAAGAGUUGUCAAUUACCCCCAACAGAAGAGUCCUUGGCAGGAAAAAAAUCAUCAGUUACAGGCCCCAGCAGGGAAAAGAUGUUCAUGCAUCUCCUGCAAGAAAUCUACUACCCCUGCAAGUCAGCCAAUGAGAAAUUGUCAUCACCCUGAACUCUUGCUCUCUCCAGUAGACUUUGGUUCCAAAUAACCACUCCCGACUUCCUCCUUCUUCCCCAUAAAAUAAUGUUCCUCGCUUCAUUGGACUUGCCUAUGGUCUUGCAGUAGCUUGCAUGUCCCAAGUGGGAAUGCUCUGCUAUUCCUGAAUAAACCCAUUUUUGCUGUUAAGUUACGGGACUUUUAUUUUUAAGGUUACCAGGACCUUCCACAAUGUUCUUUCCAGCAGAGGAGGCCUCCUGCAGAUUCACCUGCUCAGCAACACAGGGACAUUACGCUGGGAACAUUCCAGAGUCCUGGCAUUGUAGAGGACACAGUUGAAGGCCACAGCGUCAUCCAGAAGGAAGAGCUGGAAGGCAUCUUUGGGAUACUUUCGAGAUCUGACAUUUGAUGUUCCUUGGCACAUCUGUUUGUUUCCACGGAGGUACCUGGCCACACAGCUGAGAAGCCAAAGGAACAUCUGAACCACCCUGCUGUUUCCAAAUCCUGAGCUUCCCUGCCUUAUGCUGCCUGUCUCAGCCACAGCCGGGUCCCAGGGCUCCCUCAGUUAGUGAUGGAAAUGAUAACAGUGAGAGGGAGCGUGUUGACAGCAUUAACUCUGUGUUAGGGGCAUCUGCUGACGGGUUUCCCUCCCAGCACCUCUGGUAUUGAUCCGACCCUACGGCUGGCUGGAUUUACACUGCAUGCAGUAGGACUUAGUGUAAGACAACCACAAUCCAGGAUCAAAGGAUGGUUAUUACAGUUGUUUCCAGCGUCUAGCUGCCUCAAACAACGCUGGAAGCAAGCACGCAAGCAAGCCAACGAACGCGUGAGCGCGUAGCUCUGUGAAGCCUGUUGGUGUUUUCCUGCGGAAUAAAUGCCAAAGAGCCUCUUCGGGAAUGCGGGUGUUGGCGUGACCCAGCGCCUGCCUCGUGUUGAGGUACUGGUGCCGCAGAGCUGGCUGCUGAGAGCUAUCAGUAGGGGCCUGGCAGACUGUGCACGGAGGACUGGCUCCCACACACGAGGAAGAAACAGACCACCAGGCAGGAAGGCAAGCGGGGAGUCCACUCUCCCUAGGAUCUGAAGGUCUCCUGUGGCGCUGGCUGGAAGCAAAGUUCACUGGCAGAAAAUGGGUUUGGAGUGAAGCCAACCAUGCUUCAUCCAUUCCUUGCCAUCUGCUCUACCAGUGUUUACUGAGCACCUACUGAGUGCUCCAAAAAGUGAUGGGCAUCUGUGGGCCCAGAGUCUCACAGGAGGCAUGGGUGAAACCCAGGCCUGCCACCUACUCAGGAUGGGCUUCAACCUCAGUUUCCUUAUUUGCAAAGCCAGCCCAUCUGUCAUAACAAUGUAGGAGGCCAUCGGGAUCCUAUCAAUAACUUCUCUAGGGCUUAUCUGUGUUAGGGUCUGUUCUCCAGGAGCCCAUUGGACCUGGGGGUGGCUGACCCGCUGGCAGAUGAGAAUGUGCCAGAAACUCCCUGCCCUCAGAGCAGCAGGCAUGAGGUUCCUGAUAGCCGGACUCCCUGGGCAUGCCCUCCUUCUGAGGGACCAACUCUCUUUAACAGGAAAGAGCUUCUCUACAUCAGAAGAGUUACUGACUGAAAGGAGGGGAGAGCUCAGAGUUCACAUAAAUGUUCCCAGAUUUUGAGCCAAGAUAUUCCUGUUUCCACCUGAAGUGGUGAUGGGGACUGCCUUUCUGGGAGCUGGUUCCGUGGACACCCCAGACUCCAUGUUACACCUGUGAGAACCAACUGUGCAGGGGCAGGCUGCCUCUGCCACAGUCAUGGAGGUGGGUGGGAGGGGGUUGAUCUGGCUCCUUGAGUCGUGAGAACCUCAGGGCUGUUCAGAAGCAGGACUACUGAGGACAAACAUUCACUGGCUUGAAGGAAGAUAAGACAAAUAGAUCAAUGAAACAGAACAGAGACCCCAGAAAUAGACCCUCAUAAAUAUAGUCAGUGGGUCUUUGACAAAGGGGCAAAGGCAAUGCAAUGAGGCAAAGACAGUCUCUUUAGCAACCAGUGCUGGAACAACUUAACAUCAAUAUGCAAAUAAAUAAAUCUAGACACAGACCUUAUGCCCUUCACAAAAGUUAACUGAAAAUGGAUCACAGACCCAAAUGUAAAAUAAAAACUAUAAAAAUCCUUGAAGUUGCCAUAGAAGACCCAGAUGACCUUGGGUCUGGUGAUGACUUUCUAGAUAAAACACCAAAGACAUGAUCCAUGAAAGAAAGAAUUGAUAAGGUGGACAUCAUUAAAAUUAGAAACUUCUGCUCUGUGGAAGACCCCAUCAAGAGAAUGAGAAGAGAAGCCACAGACUAGGAGAAAAUAUUUGCGAAUGACACAUCUGAUAUGAGGCUGUUAUCCCAAAUAUGCAAAGAGCUCGUCCAACUCAAGGCAACAAAUAGCCCGAUUAAAAAAUGGGCCAACAGACACCUCCCCAAAGCAGAUGUACUGAUGCCAAGCAAACGUAUGAAAAGAUGCACCACGUUGUACUCACCAGGGGCGUGCAUUAAAACAACAGUGGGAACUCCCGCACCCCUACUGGAAUGGUCAAAGCCCCACAGACAGACAGCACCAAGUGCCACCAAGGAUGUGGAGCCACGUGCACUCUCUCUCACUGCUGGUGGGAGUGCAAAAUGCUGCAGCCAUGCUGGAAGACAGUUCAGCAGUUUCCUGCAAAACUAGAAAUAUUUUUACCAUGUGAUCUAUUGUACUUCUUGGUAUUUACCCAAGGAAGUGGAAAACUUAUGUCUGCACACAGACUUGUGCGUGGGUGCUUAGAGAGCUUUGUUCAUCAUUGUCAAAACUAGAAGCAGCCAGGAUGUCCUUCAGUAGGUGAACAGAUGAAUAAACCGUGGUGCCUUCAGACGAUGGAAUAUUAUUCAGCAAUAAAAAGAAAUGAGCUAUCAAGCCAUGAAAAGAUAUGGAGGAAGCUCAGAUGGAUAUUAUUCAGUGAAAGCAAUAAAUCUGAAAAGGCUACAUGCUGCGUGACUCCAACUGUAUGACAUUCCGGAAAAGACAAAACUAUAGCGACUGUAAGAGGAUCAGUGGUUGCCAAGGGUGGGAUGGGGGAAGGAGGGAUGAACAGGGGGAGCACGGAGGAUUUUUAGGGCAGUGGAUGAUGCUAUGACGAUGCCUGUAUGUCAUUUUACCUUUGUCCAAAAGCAGAGAAUGUACAACGCUGCGGGUGAACCAGGAGGCCAGCCCUUUGUGGGGAAGGCUGUGCAUGUGUGGGAGGUUUGGGUGCAGGGUGUAUUUGGAAAAAUCUCUGUGUUUUCUGCCAAUCUUGCUGCUUUAAAGAAAAAAAAAGUCUUUAAAUAACUUUAAAUAAAACCUUUAAAAAAC